ensembl:lncRNA
CUGGGCUUGGCAUCACUGCUCUUUUAUUUAAACAGACCUGUGGUCUCCUGUUGAAAACAAACAGCUGCUAUUGUUUUCUUCUUCACAGGAAAAAAACAACACCAGCUGUUUUUUCAUUCCUAAAAGAUUUUUUGCCACUUCUCUUUAUGUGCUGAAUUACUUCUCUUUAUAUGAGAAGUAUAUAUAUGUAAAAUACUGAUCAAUGACAGUUGAUCUAUUUCCAGAAAAAAAAAAAAAAAAGCCAGACUAUAUCCAGAAAGUCCCAUUCAUUUCUUCUUCCUUCCUUCUUUAAGCCUAAGAAAAAGUAUCUGCCAAUAUGUUCAGCUGCUGGCAAGCGAGGCAUUGUCAGGAAGCCUGACUUGCUGUGAAAUAUUAGUAAACAAGCAGCUGUGUUAGUGGUAGCCAAGUCUAACAAGAUCUCCACUUAUUAUCCUGUCAUUUUUUGGUGAAAGAAUAUGCCAUUGCUGUCAGACCCAUCUGUCCCACCGCACAGCCCACGCAUACAAAGCUCUGAGCCUCGCGCAUGGGAGAGAUUUUGGAGAAAUUGGAACGGGGAAUGAAAGAUGAACAGAAUAUCUGUUAAUAAAUAGUUGGAAUUUGAUUUAGAUAAUUGACUGUCUGGCCCAGAGCAGACAGGUUUUAUGUUGUGUGCAGCUGUGACAAAUCCAGCCCUCUGCCCAAUGCAAACAUGACUUGGUGUAGCUGUGUAGGUGAAUGCUUCACAUAAAGCAGAGCAGAAGCUCUGUGGGUAUGGCUGGAACUGGCUCGGAUGUUUCUCUGUCUCUUGACCCCAUUUCAAACCUUCCAGAUUUCUGAAAACUUGGAAAAGGGUACAAGGGAGCACGUGCAGAAUAUUAUUUUACUUCAGAAAUAUUAAAAUUCAUUGUGGUAAGCAUCAAUGAAUCUGCAUUUGGAAACAAAAGGCAACUUUCAGAAGCCAUUGUCCAACUGCCAGGGAUUGCAAUAUGGAAGGUGCGUGGCAGCUGCUUUUUCAGACAAGCACGUGAGUCUGACACAAAGGCAGCAGGAUCUGUACCUGGAAGUAGCAGUGACUGAGGAAAUGGAAAAGGUGGUGGAAGAUGUCUGUCAUACACAUCUGAACCUGUGAGCUCUUAGGCAGGGAUGGAAAUGUCGGCAUCAUCCAGCUUCCAGAGAUCCAAUGCUGCUGUGGUGAGAGCAGCACCCCAGGGUGCUGAGCUCUGCUGAGAGAGCAAUGCUGGGCCUGCUGCUGCACAGCCUGCGUGGGCACGGCCCUUACUAGGGCUUCAAUGAAUGCCUUAGGUUGGAAGGGACCUCAAGGAUCAUGAAGCUCCAACCCCCCUGCUGCAUGCAGGGCCACCAGCCUCCAUAUCUAAUACUAGACCAGGCUGCCCAGGGCCCCAUCCAACCUGGCCUUGAACACCUCCAGGGGUGGAUGGGGCAUCCACAGCCUCUCUGGGCAGCUGUUCAGCACCUCACCACUCUCACAGUAAAGAACUUCCCCGACAUCCAACCUAAAUCUGCCCUCCUUCAACUUCGAACCAUUUCCCCUUGUCCUGCUGUUAUCUCCCCUUCCAAAGAGUUGCCUCCCCUCCUGUUUGUAGGCUCCCUGUAGGUCCUGGAAGGCUGCACUGAGGUCACCCCGCAGCCUUCUCUUCCCCAGGCUGAACAAGCCCAGCUCCCUCAGCCUGUCGUUGUUGGGGAGGUGCUGCAGCCCUCUGAGC